rnacentral:rRNA from 1 species
GAUGAACGCUGGCGGCGUGCUUAACACAUGCAAGUCGAACGAAGCACUUUAUUUGAUUUCCUUCGGGACUGAUUAUUUUGUGACUGAGUGGCGGACGGGUGAGUAACGCGUGGGUAACCUGCCUUGUACAGGGGGAUAACAGUUGGAAACGGCUGCUAAUACCGCAUAAGCGCACAGCAUCGCAUGAUGCAGUGUGAAAAACUCCGGUGGUAUAAGAUGGACCCGCGUUGGAUUAGCUAGUUGGUGAGGUAACGGCCCACCAAGGCGACGAUCCAUAGCCGACCUGAGAGAGUGAACGGCCACAUUGGGACUGAGACACGGCCCAAACUCCUACGGGAGGCAGCAGUGGGGAAUAUUGCACAAUGGGCGAAAGCCUGAUGCAGCGACGCCGCGUGAGCGAAGAAGUAUUUCGGUAUGUAAAGCUCUAUCAGCAGGGAAGAUAAUGACGGUACCUGACGAAGAAGCACCGGCUAAAUACGUG